GGGCCUAUACUCUGCCGUCAGCGGCAAGCGAGGCGGGAGAAUUCGUUCUCCGUCAUGAAGCCCUGACGAGUAGGAGGGUCGCGGCGGUGUGCGCAGAAGGGUCUGGGCGUGAGCCUGCCUGGAGCCGCCGUCGGUGCAGAUCUUGGUGGUAGUAGCAAAUACUCCAGCGAGGCCCUGGAGGACUGACGUGGAGAAGGGUUUCGUGUGAACAGCCGUUGCACACGAGUCAGUCGAUCCUAAGCCCUAGGAGAAAUCCUAUGUUGAUGCGGUGUCUCAGUCACAAAAUGUAAUUAAUUUAAUUAUUUUUUUUAAACAAAAUUACGACACACACCCAUCGGGCGAAAGGGAAUCCGGUUCCUAUUCCGGAACCCGGCAGCGGAACCGUAUACAAUUCGGGCCCUCGCAAGAGAGUUCGUCGGGGUAACCCAAAAUGACCUGGAGACGCCGUCGGGAGAUCCGGGAAGAGUUUUCUUUUCUGUAUAAGCGUUCGAGUUCCCUGGAAACCUCUAGCAGGGAGAUAGGGUUUGGAACGCGAAGAGCACCGCAGUUGCGGCGGUGUCCGGAUCUUCCCCUCGGACCUUGAAAAUCCAGGAGAGGGCCACGUGGAGGUGUCGCGCCGGUUCGUACCCAUAUCC
rnacentral:rRNA from 1 species